GACGAACGCUGGCGGCGUGCCUAAUACAUGCAAGUAGAACGCUGAAGGAGGAGCUUGCUUCUCCGGAUGAGUUGCGAACGGGCGAGUAACGCGUAGGUAACCUGCCUGGUAGUGGGGGAUAACUAUUGGAAACGAUAGCUAAUACCGCAUAAUAACAGUUGUUGCAUGACAACUGUUUGAAAGGUGCAAUUGCACCACUACCAGAUGGACCUGCGUUGUAUUAGCUAGUCGGUGGGGUAACGGCUCACCAAGGCGACGAUACAUAGCCGACCUGAGAGGGUGAUCGGCCACACUGGGACUGAGACACGGCCCAGACUCCUACGGGAGGCAGCAGUAGGGAAUCUUCGGCAAUGGACGGAAGUCUGACCGAGCAACGCCGCGUGAGUGAAGAAGGUUUUCGGAUCGUAAAGCUCUGUUGUAAGAGAAGAACGAGUGUGAGAGUGGAAAGUUCACA
rnacentral:rRNA from 1 species